GGAGAGAUGGCCGAGUGGUUGAAGGCACCGCUCUCGAAAAGCGGUAACCCGAGGAAUUGGGUUCGUGGGUUCGAAUCCCACUCUCUCCG
rfam:Deltaproteobacteria bacterium DG_8 WOR1_52_54_34418, whole genome shotgun sequence.